rnacentral:miRNA from 1 species
UAUUGGGUUGGCCAAAAUGGUCCUUAGGCUUUUUCUGCAAUAUCUUACCAAAAAACCUAAACAAACUUUUUGGUCAACCCAAUA